CGGCGGACGGGUGAGUAACACGUGGGUAACCUGCCUGUAAGACUGGGAUAACUCCGGGAAACCGGGGCUAAUACCGGAUGCUUGAUUGAACCGCAUGGUUCAAUUAUAAAAGGUGGCUUUCAGCUACCACUUGCAGAUGGACCCGCGGCGCAUUAGCUAGUUGGUGAGGUAACGGCUCACCAAGGCGACGAUGCGUAGCCGACCUGAGAGGGUGAUCGGCCACACUGGGACUGAGACACGGCCCAGACUCCUACGGGAGGCAGC
rnacentral:rRNA from 1 species